rnacentral:rRNA from 1 species
GGGGUGCUCGAGUGGCGAACGGGUGAGUAACACGUGAGUAACCUGCCCUUGACUUUGGGAUAACUUCAGGAAACUGGGGCUAAUACCGGAUAGGAGCUCCUGCUGCAUGGUGGGGGUUGGAAAGUUUCGGCGGUUGGGGAUGGACUCGCGGCUUAUCAGCUUGUCGGUGGGGUAGUGGCUUACCAAGGCUUUGACGGGUAGCCGGCCUGAGAGGGUGACCGGCCACAUUGGGACUGAGAUACGGCCCAG